CGUACACUCCUACGGGAGGCAGCAGUGGGGAAUAUUGGACAAUGGGCGCAAGCCUGAUCCAGCCAUGCCGCGUGAGUGAUGAAGGCCCUAGGGUUGUAAAGCUCUUUUGUGCGGGAAGAUAAUGACGGUACCGCAAGAAUAAGCCCCGGCUAACUUCGUGCCAGCAGCCGCGGUAAUACGAAGGGGGCUAGCGUUGCUCGGAAUCACUGGGCGUAAAGGGUGCGUAGGCGGGUCUUUAAGUCAGGGGUGAAAUCCUGGAGCUCAACUCCAGAACUGCCUUUGAUACUGAAGAUCUUGAGUUCGGGAGAGGUGAGUGGAACUGCGAGUGUAGAGGUGAAAUUCGUAGAUAUUCGCAAGAACACCAGUGGCGAAGGCGGCUCACUGGCCCGAUACUGACGCUGAGGCACGAAAGCGUGGGGAGCAAACAGGAUUAGAAACCCGUGUAGUCCCAUGA
rnacentral:rRNA from 1 species